AGUUUGAUAAUACUUUUUACUUAUUAAAAUGGUACGAGUGGUAAGAAAAAAAGAGGAGAGAAAGGGGAGAAGUUUGAGCUAAUGCUGGUGGUGGUGGUAAUGAAAGCAUAACAACAAUAUGGAGUCACAAUGGUGACACAGAAGACCAAUGACAAUGGUGACCGAGGUUGUAGGAGGAUAAGGAAGAGAAAAAGGAAGAGAAAGAGAAAAAGAAGGAUGAUGAGUUAAAAAAAGUGACAAUUGAUGCAAUGACAACAACACCAACUAUGGAAGCGCAACUUAGAAGAAGGAAGGAAAGAAGAAGAAAAAAGAAAUAUGAAGAGAAAAAAGAAUAACCCAAUCAUGACUUUAACUAAAGGUUAGAAUUUGUCUCUAAUUAUUGAUGAAUUUUUAGAUAGACAUGUGACCAUUAACAAUUAUCAAUGAAUCCGCCAAUAAAAUUUCUCAACAAAUCAACAAAAUUAUUAUAAAAUUUUACUAUUAUUAAUGGAUUGUGUCAGUUAAUAAUAUAUCAUUGUGAUGCAUUAUAAAAAUUACUUGCCUCAAUUUUCUUACCUAAUUCCUGGGAAAAUCCUUAAACAUCUCAUGUGGAGG
rnacentral:lncRNA from 1 species